rnacentral:rRNA from 1 species
UACGUAGGGCGCAAGCGUUGUCCGGAAUUAUUGGGCGUAAAGAGCUCGUAGGCGGUCUGUUACGUCCGCUGUGAAAACCCAGGGCUUAACCCUGGGCUUGCAGUGGAUACGGGUAGACUAGAGGCAGGUAGGGGAGAAUGGAAUUCCCGGUGUAGCGGUGAAAUGCGCAGAUAUCAGGAGGAACACCGGUGGCGAAGGCGGGUCUCUGGGCCGUAACUGACGCUGAGGAGCGAAAGCGUGGGGAGCGAACAGG